rnacentral:misc_RNA from 1 species
UUAUUAGAUUAUAAUAAGACUACUUUUGUUACUACUAGAUGUUUAUAAAAUGGGGGCAGACGGCCAACCAAAGUCGACUCGUCUUACGGUUCACAGGUGUUAUGGAUGUGAAGGGUGCGAGAGCCUUGCCGAGAGGCGAAGACCCAAGCGGUGUAUUCACUAAUGAUCCUUCCGCAGGUUCACCUACGGAAA